UACGUAUGGGGCAAGCGUUAUCCGGAUUUACUGGGUGUAAAGGGAGCGUAGGCGGCAUGGCAAGUCAGAAGUGAAAGCCUGGGGCUCAACCCCGGAAUUGCUUUUGAAACUGUCAGGCUAGAGUGUCGGAGGGGUAAGCGGAAUUCCUAGUGUAGCGGUGAAAUGCGUAGAUAUUAGGAGGAAUACCGGUGGCGAAGGCGGCUUACUGGACGAUUACUGACGCUGAGGCUCGAAAGCGUGGGGAGCAAACAGG
rnacentral:rRNA from 1 species